rnacentral:lncRNA from 1 species
GGAGACAGAUGGGGAAAUGCUAAUGUUUGUAAUUUUGGUGAAAAGGGGGACCCAGAGAAUAAUGGGUUCCAAGGUGGGAACUCGGGUGUGUCGAGGAUGGGAACGAAGCCAGAGACCAGAGGUACAAUUACUUCUGACACUCUUCACAGGACCACCUGACAUGGUUAAACAGCCCUGGCUUAACGUUCCAGACACUGCUGCCAAUACUUGCGGCUGUUAGUUCCUGAUUUCUGCUUAAGAUCACUCAGAAGAGGAUCAGCUGCUGAUCAUACGUCUGACUCAGCUAUAUCUCAUUGCUAUGGCUCUUGGCCACAAGAUAUCUGACUCUGUGUCACCAGCCUAACAGAAGAUCACAUUGUGCUGCCAAAGCACAGAACACACCCAGCUUCUUGGAUUUCAUCUGUCUUGCAUUUCCUUAUGUAUCAGUUACAGGAAAAGCAGCAACUGAAAUACAGCUCUCAAAUGCUCUGGAUGGUAAAUAAAACAAGGCAUAUGCUAUAAUACCCUCUGAGAGAAAUGCCCUUGCCCUGGUGUGUGUGUAAGGUCCUACAAGUAUGUAGAAUAUGUCGUUUACCUAGCUUCCAUUUACUAAGAAUUAGUUGGCUGGCCUAUAUUUUGAAGGGAGUGACAUUUUCUUGGCCAGGCCUUUCUGGCUCAUUCCUCUCAUAAACAAGCAAAAGGAUCUGCUUGUCCAGAAUGAGAAAAGUCUUUCUGGAUAGUUGUCACUCUUGUGCCUAGGAGACGACUGUCGAGCUUCUAUGACCACCUCCUCCUGUCAACUCAGUCUUUGAAGCAAUGCAGAGACUAUGCUGUGAAGAAAGAACAGUAACUCACAGCACCGAUACUAAGGGAUACCACUACCCUUGGAUUUGGCUUCCAUCUGAUGGAAAAGAGCUUCAGCCUAUAGCUAAUAACUGGGAUCAUUUGAAUAGCAAAGAAUUUAACACUAGAGAAAAUAUAUUAAGACACUUAAUAUAAGACAAAUUAUGACUACCACAGGAAGGAGCAUCCUGGGACUAGUCCACCAAACAGACCAUGUCUCUCCAAAUAUAUGCAUGUGUGUUAUGCUGCCACAAUGACUAGGCUUCUGUAACAAGUGCCCAGACCUUGGCACAACUGACUCCAUGAUUGAAGUACCAUUCAGGCCAUUAAACUCAGCACAUAGAUGGUACCACCUGCCAAAAUGAAAACAAAGACCUGAUCCAUCAAAGUCCAUAGUGAUGGAAAUGCCCCUAAAUGACUAACCUUGCUCUUUUUUACUUCUUUAAUUCUGCUUCUGACUAAAUGUGCUUGUUAACUGAAGUGUGUCAACCCGGGAUUUUUUUUUUUUCAUAAAGGCUUGGUGGUACACUGGGAUCCUGAAUACCAAGUAUGCUCUCCAGCCAGCUGAUAAAGAUUUCUAUUGGCUUAAAUUUUAAUCCAGGCAGUGUUCUCUGUUGGAUACCCCACAAUAAUUUCCAUUAGCUUUUAUGUAGAAAUUCUACUUCUCCAAAGAAACCCUGUCUCGAAAAAAAAAUUUUUAAUUAAAUAAAUAAAUUC